CCCAAAUAUUUCAAAUAGAGCAAAGAAUUUAAACGAAAAGCAUUCGAAUUUAUUGUUUUGAGACCCGAGACGCUUGGUUUGCAAGCGGUACAAAAAAGUAACGCCUAACGGCGUUUGUGUUGACACGAAGCCGCAAAAGCGCUACGUUUUCAUCUUGCUCCGUUUAGAAUCCGUGCUCAAAUUCUUACGGCAAAAGUGACGCUUUCAAACAAUUUCGCUCCGGGUAGUGUGAACUUAGUGUGAUUCAUUAUGAAAUUUUUGUCUAAGAUUGAUGAGACCGAGAUUUGAUCCCUGUGGUACUCCACCAGCCGACAAACCCAACCCCUUAAGACCAGGUAGUGAUGACGUUAUAAUAUCUUAGUUCUUCUGACAAUGUUCUAGACCGUGUGCCUUUUACAGUACAACACUUGAAAUGUCUUUCUGUACUUGGGCAAACGCCACAGAUAGAUAAAGGUAUUUAGAGCGUAGUUUAACAAUAACAUCAUAUCAGAUACAUUAAAUAUAUACAUAAUCACGUCAUUUGUUGAUUCUACGGUAACCACGUCC